rnacentral:rRNA from 1 species
GUGAGAGACGCCCCAUCCCAACCACCCGACUCCGCGUCUCCCGCCCGAGACCGGCCGCCGCUGCCGAUGAGGGCCACGCCGGCGCUCCCUCUCAGCCCGCCUUCCUCCUCUUUCCACUCUGUUCCCCUCCUUCUCUCUCCGCCCUCUGGUCAGCAGCGACCACCCAAGCUCGCCCCGAUUCAUUGCCCUCUCCUUCCGUCCAGCUUGGGUCCGUCGUCGGUCGUCCAUGGGGUGAACGCUGCGCCUCCUCCUGAAGCUCCUAUUUUUGUGCCGCCCCGCCUGCACUGCCCACCAGCGCUUUCCGAGAACUCAUGGUCGCCUUCUGCCAAGCUGCCGGAUUGAUGGCCGGCCGCCGCCAUGACCGACCUCAACCUUCUGCACGCCAUGGGGAGUGGCCAUGGAGGCCGCACCUUCGGCCUCUCGCUCGCCGCCAGCCAGGACCUCCGCCAACAUCUCAUUCAUCUAUAUCAAGGACCGAUCUACGUCACAUGAGGUUGACAGCAGUUCGGCCAGGGGCAUCACGACCACAUCCUGAUAUCCGCUGCCUUGGGCACGGCCACCACUGCUUGCCUUCCUUGGAGCAAGGAAUUAUGAGCUCUCCCGUACACGGCUGAAGCGCCUACAGGUGUGCGUGUCUGUGUUUUAACUUUUGCUCAUUCUUUUGUUUCUGAACAAGUGAAUUUCUCUUGCUGGAGCGUUUCAUUGAAAAGGAAUUUGGUUCUGAAGCUACUCUUGAAGCUUACGAUCUGAAAAACACAGGGGAAUUAUUUUGCUCUAUGUUGUGUUGUGGUUCCUGCCCAAGAGGUGGCAACAGUUCAGACUUCAGACUUAAAUCAUGGGGUCAGGAAAGCAAUGAAAGUUAGCAACGGGAGAACGUAGCGAUGUCUGAACGGCCGUCUGCUACUGAAGCUCAUCCACCGUCCUCUCUCUGAUGAGAUCAAAAGCCUCUUCGCUCCUUCACUAUGAGGUAAUGAAUCACCCAAACAGACAAUGUGCAUGACAAGUUCUGCUGCUGCAAAGAUUUCUUUAGGACCAUCGACAUGGAUGUUCAUGUCAGGAUUUCUUUAGGAGCAUCUACAUUCAGGAAAAUAUGUAUGCAUGUUGAGAAAAAAUAUAUUUUAAGAUGUGUGUUUUAUGAUAUAGUUCAACCAAUACAUAUUUUUUUAUGGAUCAUUCGCAUUUGGCAAGUUUUUACUCACACUGCAUUUUCAGCUAUGCAUGUGAAUGCUUGGGAAGACACUACAUGCAUAGUUAACUUUUGUUCUGGUUCAAUUCUUUGAUUUUACUGACACUUUUCUACCGAGAAUGCUUUGCCAUUAAUUUUUGUCCCCAUUGAUCUAUUUUCCUCUUAGCAUCAUCCAUCAUCAUUGCCCCAUGACCCGACUUGCUUUCCUGAAUGCACGAACAAACAUCUGCUCUGUAUGCACGGCAAAAUUUAGUUUCAUUCAAUGCCGUCACAUGACCCCCUUACAGUAUGUGAUCCUUUGGUUCAGAUGUGGCAUUUUCUCAUUUGAUUGUUCAUUAAAUUUGCAAGCGAGCUAUUUUAGUUAGAUGCUCUAAAAGAAAAUGAAGGGUCGUUCCAAGAGGUUAGUGUCAAAUAAAAAAAUUCCAAAGAAAUGUAGUGCAAAAGAAUUUGUACAGCUCUUUUUAUAGGAUUAAUUCACUCAUACAAAUAGGUGUGGCCCAUAGAAAAACAAACAUAUGAACUCAACCCACUGAAUUUUCCAUGAAAAGAUUUUGAAUCAAAGAGACCCAAAGGUGGAAUAAAAGGAUUACCGUGGCCACAACUAUUAUCAAAAUGUUUCUCAGAUGUGGAAAUAUGGAGGGGAAGGAUCCUCGACCAUCAUGCCGCGUCCCUCGACCAGAAUCUCCAUCAAAUCUUGUCGCAUUGCAACUUUCAGAGUAACGUCCACUGUCGCCGGCGGAGGAAAAUCAUCCGCCGAGCCGUCCAAUGUCAGGUUCACCGGCGAAAGAAGAACAUCCGUCGAGCCGUCCAUCGUCUGAGGCGGCUACACCAGAGCUGCCAGAGGCGUCCGAUCGUACUCAGGUGGAGUCCAAGGAGGUUCGGCUCUUAGACAUGCCAGCAAUCACUGUCAACGACACUGACGUGCAGAUUAAAAUGGAUGACAUCACCAAACUGAACAUUGCAUAGGAUUUUGAUAACCGAUCUUCAAAAAAAAAUCCGAAUCAGGAACCAGAUUCACAUAAAGAGAUCAAAGUCGAUGAGACAUAUGAUUAUCUCCCACAAGGGAGCCCAAUCGGUGGAAGGUGAUUUGUCAAAGAGAAUUCUAGCAGCCAACAGUUAAUAGGCGGUGAGCAGGGAGACAAUGAACAUGUAGAGCUGGAGUUUUUUUUAGAAAGCAAAGCUGGAGUUUGGUUUGUACUUAAGACAUCACUUAAGAAGUUCUUCACCACAUGUAAAUUUUUUUGGAGCUUCCAAGGAUAUACAUUUUUUGGGUUGCCA